CUAUGAUUUUUUAUGUGAACCGGUUCUACGCUUUGGGCUUCAAGCAGUCAACAGCGGAAUAUUUAGAAGUGGUUGCAGGAUGUCUGGUGUUAACUUUGUUUCUGAUAACCUGUACAUCAUGCAUCUUUGGCAAAUAUUCGAAAUGCAAAAUGUGAGCGACAUGAACCCAAUGUCAUCACUGCAUGAAGAGCAAGAGCCAAUAAGGUGAGCUGGAUGAACCCAAUGCCAUCACUGCAUGGAGAUCAAAGGCCAACAAGGUGAGCGGGAUGAACCCAAUGUCAUCACUGCAUGGAGAUCAAAGACCAACAAGGUGAGCGGAAUGAACCCAAUGUCAUCACUGCAUGGAGAGCAAGAGCCAACAAGGUAAUGUUUAAAUAAAUGUUACAGUAAGAGACACUGUGGAUAUAGCAAGAGAUGAAGGAAAAGGAAUGUUUUUUUUUUAUGUUAUUUCUUAUUUUAGUUUUGUAAUUUAUUAAAUGGAAAUAUAGAUACUGAAUGUACCUUUAUAGACAGUGGAUUCAGUUAUUAUUAAGGGAUUUAAAGGCCUCUUUUGUUUUAAGUACUACUUGUAUAUCAUGUUAUGAAAAAAAAAGAAGUGUCAAAGCCAGUUUGGAUUAAUUCAUAUCUAUAUAACUAUCUAUUUAAACCAUUUUUAUGUCUAUUGGUUUCUUGCAUCCUGUGUGCUUAAUAUACAAUGCUAAACUAUUGUUUGUUUAAUCAGUAAAUAUAAUAUUUUGCUGUUUUCUUAGAACUGUAAACUUGACAAACAAACAUUUCCAUUACACGCUGUUUUACACUCUAUUAUGAAGGGAUGCAUGACAACUUUGUCAACCUUUUUAAAACUUCUAAUGCUUUGUGAUGCAUUUGAUUUUCUGUGCACUUUGAAUUUGA
rnacentral:lncRNA from 1 species